UAUAUAGAAUUGAGCUUCCUAUGCUGUUAAAAGUACUAAGUUAUUAGUGCUUGUAAAUUUUUAGCCAUUGAAUUAAGAGAUAUGCGGUUAGAAUGAUGUGGACCCCCUAGCGUUGAGUGGGUGGUUGGUUGAAUAGUAUAAUCUAAUGGUUGAAAAUGAUCCGAGAAGUAGAUCUAACGGUAAAAAACUUACAAGCACCAAGUACUGGUACUUUUACAAGCACCAUAGCUGGACUCUAUAU
rnacentral:lncRNA from 1 species